rnacentral:rRNA from 1 species
CAGCAGCCGCGGGAAUACGAAGGGGGCUAGCGUUGUUCGGAAUUACUGGGCGUAAAGCGCACGUAGGCGGAUAUUUAAGUCAGGGGUGAAAUCCCGCAGCUCAACUGCGGAACUGCCUUUGAUACUGGGUAUCUUGAGUAUGGAAGAGGUUAGUGGAAUUGCGAGUGUAGAGGUGAAAUUCGUAGAUAUUCGCAGGAACACCAGUGGCGAAGGCGGCUAACUGGUCCAUAACUGACGCUGAGGUGCGAAAGCGUGGGGAGCAAACAGGAUUAGAUACCCCCGUAGUCCCUGUCUCUUAUAA